UACGAGGGGGGCUAAUGUUGUUCGGAAUCACUGGGCGUAAAGCGUGCGCAGGCGGUUUUGUAAGCCAGAUGUGAAAUCCCCGGGCUUAACCUGGGAAUGGCAUUUGGGACUGCAAGGCUCGAGUGCGGCAGAGGAGACUGGAAUUCCUGGUGUAGCAGUGAAAUGCGUAGAUAUCAGGAGGAACACCGAUGGCGAAGGCAGGUCUCUGGGCUGACACUGACGCUCAUGCACGAAAGCGUGGGGAGCAAACAGG
rnacentral:rRNA from 1 species